AGGAUGAACGCUAGCGGCAGGCUUAACACAUGCAAGUCGAGGGGCAGCAUGAAGCGGAGAUUCGUCGAAGCUUUGAUGGCGACCGGCGCAAGGGUGCGUAACGCGUGAGCAACUUGCCCGUUUCAGGGGGAUAACCGGUGAAACGCCGACUAAUACCCCAUAGUAUCAUUAUUAGGCAUCUUUUAAUGAUUAAAGAAUUUCGGAAACGGAUAGGCUCGCGUGACAUUAGCUAGAUGGCGGGGUAACGGCCCACCAUGGCGACGAUGUCUAGGGGUUCUGAGAGGAAGGUCCCCCACACUGGAACUGAGACACGGACCAGACUCCUACGGGAGGCAGCAGUAAGGAAUAUUGGGCAAUGGAGGCAACUCUGACCCAGCCAUGCCGCGUGAAGGAUGAAGGCCCUACGGGUCGUAAACUUCUUUUGUCGGGGAAUAAAGUCGCCUACGUGUAGGCGUUUGCAGGUACCCGAAGAAUAAGCAUCGGCUAACUCCGUG
rnacentral:rRNA from 1 species